CCCUGAAAACAGCUGGCUGUCUGGUUGGAUCAGUCCCCCGUGGCAAACUCAGGACUCUGCGUUCCCAGUACUGGCUCACAGAAUCUGGUUGAAUCACCAAAAUGUGAAGACAAGCCUUCAGUUCCCUUCUUGACCACCAGCAUGGAACUAAACAAUUAAACCUGUCAGAAAAAAAAAAGCUGCUGUAUUUUAAGGUAACAGAGACAUGGACUUUUUAAGGUAACAGAGACAUGGACUUGAGAAGACAACUUGGCUCAAUUCCUAGCUCUGCAACUUACUUACUAGGUUUGUGUCUUUGGACUGCAUCCUAACAAACAACUGUGUCAAGACAUUUGAACAGCAUAUUCUACACAAAUAAAAAGGAAAUGAUAAAGAUAAAAGAAAUUAAUAGAAUGGAAAGUGAUGGAGAUAAACAAGUGAAAAGAUGGUCCUUUGAAAAGACUAAAACAUGGCCAAUGCACUGGCAAGAAUGAUUGGGACAAUAAACAAAAUAUAUAUGCCAGGGCAGCUCCCGGCGAGAUCGACGCAAAA
rnacentral:lncRNA from 1 species